CCGUAGAAACUUGCAGUUCAUACACUUUUGCCAGCUGCCACGUUCAAUAUGUUUGCUUAAGCUGGAUGGUUAUGUUCGGCCUCCUCCUCGCUCUCUUCCCAACCAGACAGUUUCUGUUCUUCUCUGGCUCUUGCACAAAAGAGACUCUUUGAUCCAUUAUACGAUUAGUACGAAGAUGAUUUGAUUCACACCAUCAUCAUAGAUUAAUACACACCAGAGAAAAAGCCAUAAACUACCUCCAUCAUCAUCAUCGUCAUCACCACCAUCACCAACUCGCCAUGGUGUCAAAACACAUAAUUAUCAUCGUAGGACACACCAGAUACACAGACAACAUCAUCAUCAUGGGCAGUACGAAUACGUUUUGAAGAAGAAGCUUGAUCGUCCUGACCACAACGAGUCUCACUAUUACCAACAACUUCACUGAGUCCAUAAACAUGACAACCAGAAAGCAGCGUAGGCGAGGAGGCAAACAGAGGCAACGUGGGAUGUGAUCGCACGUGCACAUACAGAGGAGAGUUAAAAAAGGCCAUUGGCAUGUGGGAAGAAACAUAUUUUGUGUAUGAUAACUAUAGGUUUCAUGGAUCUAACUAUCAAAAACCAUAGGCAUUUUUUUGAAAUGACGAAUGCGUUCUUGUCUUCGAUUUCCGAGUAUCUGAAAAACUAUAAUUUACACCGGAUUUUGUUUUGAUCCAUACAACUGUAAAAAAUAAAAAUUAUUACAAAAUAAUAAUAUUUUAGAGCA